AACGUAGGUUCCGAGCGUUAUCCGGAUUUACUGGGCGUAAAGCGCGUUCAGGCGGUUUGGCAAGUCGGGCAUGAAAUCUCUCGGCUCAACCGGGAGAGGUUGUCCGAUACUUCCAGACUUGAGGGCAGUAGAGGGUGGUGGAAUUCCGGGUGUAGUGGUGAAAUGCGUAGAUAUCCGGAGGAACACCGGUGGCGAAGGCGGUGGUCUGGGCCGGCACUGACGCUGAGGAGCGAAAGCGUGGGUAGCAAACAGG
rnacentral:rRNA from 1 species